rnacentral:ncRNA from 1 species
UCCAUCGCGAGAUGUAAUCUGAAGGAAACCGGAUGUGGGGAACAUACUAACCCACGGGCAAAUCUCUGGUCUGAUGAACAGAAAUCACAUCAGGCCAUGCAUGAGGGUAAGACUGCAUCACAAGCCGAAGCCCAAUAACUACACGGAAUCAUGUAUGGUAAAUGUGACAGAUAGAUGGAGAGAAAGUCCAAUGU